rfam:Hepatitis C virus isolate QC105, complete genome
AAAGCUCAUUUCCCAAGGAGGAAAGGCCAAAAUUUGCGGCCUUUACCUCUUCAAUUGGGCAGUGCGCACA